GACAGAGGGGGCAAGCGUUGCUCGGAAUCACUGGGCGUAAAGGGCGCGUAGGCGGGAUGGCAAGUCGGUCGUGAAAUCUCUCGGCUCAACCGAGAAACGUCGGCCGAUACUGCCGUUCUUGAGGGAUGCAGAGGAGACUGGAAUUCCUGGUGUAGCGGUGAAAUGCGCAGAUAUCAGGAAGAACACCAAUAGCGAAGGCAGCUCGCUGGGACGGUACUGACGCUAAGGCGCGAAAGCGUGGGGAGCGAACAGG
rnacentral:rRNA from 1 species